CAUAUUUAUAAUGCUCAAUUAGGUUUCAUAAUUGCACAAUUUUUCUUGGACCUUGUUGUAGUAGGCCAAUUAAGUCAUAUUCCUCUAUUAGAACCAAGAGAGGGACCUAAUCGAGGCUCAAAAGAUCGAAGUUCCAAUAGAUGUUUUUAAUUGAGUUAACUCUUGAUCAAUUAAGAUACAUCUAUUAAUUUCGGUUUAUUCUACCAAAAAAUCUAAAUUGCACUCUUGAGUCGAGUGAUAAUUGUGGAAGCAAAUUAUGAUCUGAUAACAAUAUCCCUAUCAUCAUUCCACAAGUCAACCCGUUUGACCGCCAAUAUGUUGAAAUCGGCAAAAUGACCGCUUUGCCCUUUCAACAUGUGUUGCCCUCCAAGAUCCAUUUUCAUUAGGCUAAUCUGUUGUGAACUAAUUUCAACAUAGAGUCCAACGAUCCCAUCAUCGGACUACUGAGCUCAAGCUCAAAUGCCUAUGAAAAAUGCCUCGGAGUGACGAUCGUUUCAUCGUGAUGGUUAAAGGAUUCCAUUAUUGCAAGCAUAUGAUUUCUAGCUGUUUUACCCCAAUUCCGAAAGCGCUGAGAUCAAUCUUCUAAUUAAGACUUCACUCAUUGGUAUCUCAAAAAACUUGAAUUAGCAAUCAAAAGUACAUUAUUCGCACAGAAUUUAGAUGACUUGUUUGAUAAUUAAGUAGAGUCUCAUUCUGAGUGACCACGAAUGAGUCAUUUACGUGGUCCCUUUCAACAUGUAUCAAAAUACAUUAUUGUUCUUAUUCCCAAAUCUAAACAAAUGUCAAUAAAAACAAUACAAUCUUAUCAAUAUAAAAAUCCAACUUUAUAUACGGAUUGCAAACUAUAUAUUUUGAUCAAGUCACAAAUUGUGUAUCACUAUAUUCGAACUAUCGAGUAUAUAAUUUGUGACAUCCUAUAUAAUCAUGAAAUCUUAUAUAAUUAUUUCAAAUUAUAACAUGCGAAUAAUUGAAUAUUAAAUCAUAAUGUCGUUUUACAAAAUACUACUCGAAGGGCAUCAAACUAACAAAUGCAACAUUAAUGCUUGCAUGUUCAAUGGGAAAUAUCUGAGUAUGGUGUUUUCUGGAUAAAUUUGUUUAUUUUUUCAUUGGUUAGAAGAAAGUUGAAUUCUUGAAGCUGGGAAUAUACUUUUUUGAGUUAAAUCAUUAAAAAGGUGAAAGAGAAUUUCAAAUUAUAUUUUGAUUUCCAAUUUAUAAUUUGUUUACCUUUUGGAAUUUGAACGUUUUCAUUACUGUUUCAUUGUACAUUUUCUGAGUGAGUUUUCAUGCCUUAACAGUAGUUUUUUUUUUUUUUUUUUUUCC
rnacentral:lncRNA from 1 species